CCCAGACUCCUACGGGAGGCAGCAGUGGGGAAUAUCGCACAAUGGGGGAAACCCUGAUGCAGCAACGCCGCGUGAGUGAAGAAGUAUUUCGGUAUGUAAAGCUCUAUCAGCAGGGAAGAAGGAAGACGGUACCUGACUAAGAAGCCCCGGCUAACUACGUGCCAGCAGCCGCGGUAAUACGUAGGGGGCAAGCGUUAUCCGGAUUUACUGGGUGUAAAGGGAGCGUAGGCGGUGAUGCAAGUCAGAAGUGAAAGCCCGCGGCUCAACUGCGGGACUGCUUUUGAAACUGUAUGACUAGAUUGCAGGAGAGGUAAGUGGAAUUCCUAGUGUAGCGGUGAAAUGCGUAGAUAUUAGGAGGAACACCAGUGGCGAAGGCGGCUUACUGGACUGUAAAUGACGCUGAGGCUCGAAAGCGUGGGGAGCAAACAGGAUUAGAUACCCCGGUAC
rnacentral:rRNA from 1 species